AAGGGCCCAUCUCCUUGUCAAGGACUGCUCCCUGUCCCCCCAGCCAGGCACAGACUUGCCAGGCUGAUGCUCUGGCAGCUGUCAGGGUCCCCAGCAGGCCAACCAACCCUCUCUGCUGCUCCUGCUAGUGGGAAGCCUGCACAAGGAGAAACACCCUCUCUCCUGGUGAGGUGAUCCUCACCCAUGUUGUGACUUGGGGGCCUCAGGCCCUUGGAGCCAGCUCUGACUCCAGGCACUCUCUCUUCCCACUUCUCCUUGAAAAAGCAACAUGCAAUACACUCAUUCCCUCCCCUCUCCCCCCACCUUCUCUUUUCUUCUACCUGGGCACUUCAAGCUGAUUGCUUGGCCUCAAGCCAGGGCAAGUCUUCCACCAGUUCAACAAGGCCCAAACAUCACCCUUGAUUUUUGGCUAAGUUUUUGAGUAUGGAAUAGCAAUAACCCAGUCCCACUAAGAGUGCCUCUACUACAGAGUUACUAUGACACAGGACAGCAUUUGGAUCUAGGACACCCCCACGGACACCACUCUUCCUUCUCACCAUAGUCUAAUUCCAACAGACGCUUCUUCCCCUGGACAACAGCAUGAAGUAGAGUAGGUGAAAAGCUUAGCUCCCAGUGAAAUGCAUGAAGUCUGAAAAAGAGGUCAUCUCAGAAACCUAUUACCUAACACAUCUUUAAAGAAGCUAUUUCUCUCCAUGUCUGGCAGCACCCGUUGCCAGUCGAGACAAGAAAAGAGCACUUGUGGGAAGGGGAUGCGCUGGUUCUGCUCAGCGGAGCAUCCGGAGAGGAGGACAGAGUCUCUCAGGAAGAGCCUGAAGCCUUGCCGUAAGGACACGGGACACAUCAAAUGGUGCACAACAUACAGACAGAGCCAUGAAUCCACCUGGUCUUCACUUUCUGACUUCUGAUCUAAUGAAAAUGCUAAAUAAGGCAGGAUUUGCUAGGACCUUCCUGAGAGCAUCACAGACCCGAGGCGGACACCUUGGCUGGGCUGGGCCGGAGCCGACGAGCAGGGGGCGAAAACUCCCCAUUUCACGACAAACCUCUGCAGCCGCCCCAUCCAUCCUGUCAGCACAACGUUGGACUCUGCUUCGGGGAGCCCCUUCUCCAUCCUUCUUCAAAGGAAGGUGCGUUUCCUCCUUACCGGGGUUCUGCGAGAAAGAAGAGCUACACUGUAAAAAACCACUGCUAUCACUGCUAGAUGAAAACAACCGUGUUGUUUUAAAGGAAAUAAAGCACAGAACACAACUGCCAAGUGAACUCCUUGGCGGUCAGCUGGA